rnacentral:lncRNA from 1 species
GAUCUGGGCAUGCUUUCUGUAUAAAAAGCGGCUAAUGUUCAUCAGCUUCAUAUUCAAUUUUACAUAUGAGGAAUACAGCCACGAUGCGAUCACUGAGUAUGAUAACUGUAUUCAUUAUCGUUCUCUUGGUGGAAUUGAAACCCGGAGAAGCUAACCAUCAUCCAAGCAGGCAUUCAAUAAAACAAAAGAUUAGGAAACUAGAGGAGAUGGAAACAUGUCUGGACUGCAUGUGCGCCGAGCUGGAGAAAUCGACAAACACCUUAGAAUUUAUGUACGACUCAUUACAAACUGAAAUGCCUUCAAUAAAGUCGGAUACAUGUGUAAGCGAGGCGUUACCGCAAUGUCUUUAAUGACAUGUGGAUUAGAGGAAAUGUUCCUGUGUCUUCUUUCGAAAUACCAACAACAUGAGACGACCGUUACGCGGAAGGUGCUCCUUGACUCUUUGCUAUUGCGGUGUUCAGAUGCUCUAUUCAUCUAAAUUAUUCCUCAGUUAAGUUUUAUUUAAAUUUAUUUAUACAGUAUAUCUUUAUGUAUUUUUAUUUCUGACGAUGUUUUUUCUCAUGUCAUUUUUGUUUAUUGUUUGACCACUUCAUUAAAUGCUUUACCUAAAUAAUAAGCACGUCAUAUUCAAAAGUCAGGGUUCUCUUCCAAAUAGAUAUGCGUAUAAUACGUAACUUAUCUGGAUUUGUCGCCGUUUUAAAAAUUCUUUUACUCUGGUUAUUGAACAAGCCAAUACUACCAAUAUAUCAUUAUUUUGAAAAUGUUCGAGGCAAGAUUUUCAUAUAGUAAAAAAAAUGUUAAAUCAUUUCCAUAUGUAUUUAAAGGAAGAGAUUACUAAAAAGAAAAUUAAAUUCAAAUAUCACUGACACAUGAUGUUUGUGUGAUAAGUUUUAUUGUUAAUAUGUAUAUUACCAGAACAUUAAUAAACGGGUAGUGUCAACUAUACCUUGUGCACAAAAGAACGGAUUUACGCCAGAUUAUGAUAAUGUUAAAACUUCCCGGAUCAGUGACAGAAGUACAAAACAUUACACAAUUAUUUUGCACAUACAGCACUUUCAAGUAUAGACAUAUCACCUAUAUGCAGAACUUUAAAAUACCACCCACACAAUUCGACAGACAUACCUGUGGUUAAAUAAACCAAGACUUUAUUCAAUGCAUUAACAAACACUGAAUAUAAUAGUCAAGGACAACCCUUGAUGAUUAUCUAAGUACAGGAAUGACUUAAAAGAAAAACCGCAGCAAACUGAUCCUUGGAUUGUCCUUUUAACGAUUCCCUUUAUAUUGUACCUAUUUACAUGUAGAAACACUGAUCAUUUGCUUGCGGUAUUAAAUUACAUUUUUACUUUCACCAGCCGUCAAUAAAACAACUUUAGAUGCUGGCGUAGUCCUUUAAUUAAUGUUCCAAUAGGUGUUGAUUUUCACGGUCAAUUAUACAGUUAUAAGAUAUAUUGUAUUUCUUAUACAUAUUUAUAUAAAUGUGACAAGACAAUGUUUAUGGAAGGAAAACGCUUCUAAAUAAAGUGUUUUUGGAGAUGUUUUUUAUAUCAAAAUAAUUUAUAUUUCUAUUCAUUAGUCUACUCAAUAUCCAAAAUACCACUGAACUUUCAAUGAAUAUUUACUUUGUAUAUUUUCGUACUGGUUUUUUUUAAAUUUAUAUUUCUCUUCUUUUUGAUCAUUUUUUUUUUUUAUAUUUUUUGUCUCUUUCCGAAUUUUUACUCAACCUGUUUAUUUUUCACAAGGCUUAAGCUUUCUUCACAAUAGUAACAGUCAUACAUGUUAAUACUAAUAUCGAAAGACAACUCUUUGCCAAAUAUUUUAAAUUUCGAAUCGGUGCGUUUUUCACCAGAAAUCGGCUCUUAAAUAUUUUAUUUUCAUUUUUGACGGUUGGUACAACAUCGGUGUAUCCCGGAAUGGUGAAUAAAGUGAAUGGCAUAUUCCUUCGUACUCGUGCCUCUAGUGCAUCCCUGGGCCUAUUUUUUAUCAAUACGAAUUUUCUUUUUGUGAUUCUUUACAUAUAACUGGUAGAUGUGAUUCUUCCAUUUUAACCGGGAGAGAUAAGCUUUUCACACUUUUGGGAGAGAUAGCCACGUGCCGAUUAGCACGUGUUCAAUUGUGAUUAAAAAAGUGUCAACCCCUCGGGUAAGCGAUUUCUCUGUCAUACCCUCCAUGUAGGGGAAGAUUCUAUUAGUCGAUCCGAACAAUGGUCCGGAUCCUAAUGACAAUCUACAUAUACCCUUUUUGAUGAUAUAUCUAUCUGUCACAGUGAUGCAUAUAUGUUCAUUGAGGAACAAAACACGUAUUCCUGAUGCCGAAUAUUCUGAAUAUGAUAUUAUCUGGGUUAGUUAAACUUAUUUGGACUAAUUUUCUGCAGGUAUAUUUUUAGAAAUUAUAGGGCUAACUAAUGCGAAAUAGCAUCUUUACUGAACGUAGGGCUUGAGUCAAAUGAUGUUGAAAUAUUUUGGUUGAAGUAGGCACGAGUAAUAAACCAUGUUGUCGUUGUUAUACACACCCCAUACUCGCUCCUAGGCUUUAGGCAUAAACGUUUAAUUUUGAUAACAUUGUUGACAUGCAAAGAGAGGUAAUCCUGAUUGGAUAUAUGUAUAUAGACAUGUUACAUCUGAAACCAAAAUCACAUCUUCAUAAACAAUAAUUCAAAUAUGGAUUAGAUAAAAUUAGUACUUGUUUCCGAAUCGUUGUUGAUUAUGUAUUGAAAAUAUAAUGUAUUGUUUAUUACCAAAAGUAAAUACUGUUUCCCUAACAGCACAGAGUAAUCUCCAUCUUUUAGUUAUAACUGUCACAUCAUUGCUAAAAUAAACUUUAAACAAGCAUGUUAGACGACAAUACGUUAUUUCAAUAAUAUUUAAUAUUAACGGACAGGGAUAUUGAACUACAUGUGAGUGGGAUUAUUGGAAAUAUUAGGUUCUUCUUACUGCAAAAAGGCAAAGUUGGUAUAAAUUUCUAAAAAGAUGCUUCCACAAAAUAGAGCGGUUGAAAAUGUUCUUAAAGAUGAAGAAAAAGGCCUACAGCCAAUCAGAUUGUAGCGUGGGAUGUUAGCCAAUCAAAAACCUCAAAACAACGGAGGCACCAAGAAGGGGGGUGAGGCACCCUAAGGGACCUAUGUUCGUAGCAACCUUUUAACAAUACCUGUCAAAUAGUCUAAUGGGGGGUUUAUGUGUCGCGACAUAAAAUCAGCUAUGUAAAUAGCUUGCAUUUUCACACCAUAAAACACUUUAAAGAUAAAAGGUGAGGUCAACAUUUGGCCCUCAAAUCAAUUCAUUAUAUUUCAAUUUAUUAAAAUGCAAAAUAUUUACAAAAUUUAAAACAUAUCAAAAAUUUAAACCGAAACACUUUAUUAUAUUACGUAUGUUUUCAAGUUGUGUGCAGCAGUGAAAUCUCAAUUUGUAUUCUGCAAAAUUGAUCUUUCUGCUAGAGUUGAAUUGGAUUGAGUUGGUCUUAAAUUAAAUAAAACUGUGUUGUUUUUCUUCAAGACCAGCUCAAUUCAUCAACCCAAAAUAUUAAAGUUUGAUACUUUGUUAUAGAUAAAGAUAUGUAGAUAUAUAAAACAAUAACAUAAUCUGAAUAACAAAACUAAUAUAUACGUGAUAAUUAUUUAGUUUUUCCCAAUUCACUAAAAUAUACAGGAAGGGACAUUAUAUUAUUUCUUUAACGAGUAAAGCAAGGAAAUAUAACCUUGUUUGACUCCCUAUACAAGUGAGGUAUAUUCUGGAAACAGGAAUGCAUAACUAUAAUAAUUGUAUUUAAACCAUUUUUAGAAAGCUCACAUACAUGUACGUCGGAUAUCUCGUAUUAACUACAUGUACUAACGUAUCACUACUUGGUCUGCCUGGCCGGAAAACGAACGGUUUGGAUUUUGCAUUAAAUAGAUAUACGCAACGUAUAUUUGUACUUUAUCGUAGAAUAUGUAACUACGGAUGCAAAAAAUCAACUCAGGCCACAAUGUACUAUUUUUCCAAGUUAAUUAUUUCUAAACAAGAGUUUUUUUCUAAAAAAAAUAUAUCGUAAUAAAACAAUUAUAACUGUUUUCCUUUUCCCCUAUGCGUAAUUACCAUGGUGAUUUAUAACUAAAGAUCACAUUAUGACAGUUAGAAAGUUCCCCCAGUACUUUUGAUUAACUAUUUAAUUCCCCUCUUAAAGAUAGCCUAUCCUGUAUAUAUGGUUCCAUGCUUAAGGACUGUGAUUACUUCCCUCCGACUGUCCUCUUUAUACUUACCAAAGUAACAUUUUCUUUAACUUCCUCUCUAGACGUUCGAUUGUACUAGCGAAGCUUUUCUGCUUUAUAUUCCAUUUUUUUAUAUGGCUUCCAAAUAUAUGACGAUAAUAUGAAUAUAAAUAGUGUUGAGUUGGUUCAUAUUCACAUUGGAUUGACAAAAAGUUUCUAUUAGACUAGUAGUAUAACAUUCGUGGUGUAACGAUAACAGUAAUUUGUAGAUAAAAUGUCAAAACUACAUUGAACGAUGUCACACUUAAAUAUUUUAUAUAUAAAAGUAAGAUAUAUGUAUUAUAAAAUACUAUAAAUACGAUUGUUUUCACCAACAAUACAGAAAAGAGACUAAAAUCCGUUAUGACUGCCCAAAGUUCCUUUAUAUUUUUUUUUUUUUUCAAUAGGCAUAUUUUAAUUUCACAUACUUCUUUACUACCUAUCACCUGCCUUAAGGAUGUACUCUUCUGAGGUUUCAGUCACGUUCAAGUCUCGUUUUGAUCUGGUGUAACGUUUUUUUGUAAUAUUGAACAAAUUAUGAUGUCUGCUGUGUGUAGAACAUUUGUUAAAUGUAGCAGGUUAAAUUUUGCUGUACAACUUUAUAAUGUUCAAUAUGAUUAAAAUAAUAUGCAAAAAAGUGGA